UUCAGAAGUGUGUCGGGUUAUUGGUGGGGUUGAUAUUGAUAGUGGUAUGGCUUACUUUGCACAAUUUGAUUCCCAAAGUCCCUCAUUCGGACUCUCCGUCCCAUUUUCAUCCCAUUAGCCUUUGCUUUGUGGCUGAUAAGAUAAUCACUAAGGUCCUGGCUAAUCGGUUGAAAGUCGUCUUGCCUUGUUUGAUGAGCCUGACUCAGACAGGUUUUAUUGCAAGACAACAUAUUACUAACAAUAUAGUUAUUGCUUAUUUCAAAAAAAAA
rnacentral:misc_RNA from 1 species